CGGGUAGAGCAGAGCCGGAGCCAGGUGCAGGCCAUUGGAGAGAAGGUCUCCUUGGCCCAGGCCAAGAUUGAGAAGAUCAAGGGCAGCAAGAAGGCCAUCAAGGUGUUCUCCAGUGCCAAGUACCCUGCUCCAGAGCGCCUGCAGGAAUAUGGCUCCAUCUUCACGGGCGCCCAGGACCCUGGCCUGCAGAGACGCCCCCGCCACAGGAUCCAGAGCAAGCACCGCCCCCUGGAUGAGCGGGCCCUGCAGGUCUGCUGGCCGCGCACAUAACUUAGCCUGUCACACACCAGGAGGACUGGAUACUGGGGAGGAGCCGGGGCCACCAAGGGUUCUGUCCCC
rnacentral:sRNA from 1 species